rnacentral:rRNA from 1 species
GAUGAACGCUGGCGGCGUGCCUAACACAUGCAAGUCGAACGGUGUCGUCUUGGAAAUCUCUUCGAGGAUGGAAUUCUCGUCUUACUAGCGGACGGGUGAGUCACGCGUGAGCAAUCUGCCUUUAAGCGGGGGAUAACAGUCGGAAACGGCUGCUAAUACCGUAUCAAGCAUUAAAUUCGAAUGUUUUUGAUGACAUAGGAGCAAUCCGCUUUUAGAUGAGCUCGCGUCUGAUUAGCUAGUUGGCGGGGUAACGGCCCACCAAGGCGACGUGCAGUAGCCGGACUUAGGGGUGGAACGGCAACAGGGGGACGGGGAAACGCCCCGGACUCCUAGGGGAGGAGGCAGGGGGAAAUAUGGCGCAAGGGGGGAAGCCCUGACGAGGCAACUCGGCGUAAUGAAAAAAGGCCUUCGGGUUGGAAAAGUCUUUAAGCAGGGACGAAGCAAAUGACAGGACCUGAAGAAGAAGCUCCGGCUAACUACGUG